CUUGCUGUGCGGUAGGCUUUUAGGGUUUGUUUUUCUUCUUUUUGCUGUUCGUACAACGUACCUGUUCGACUUCGCCUGCUUCGCGCGUGAGGUAAAGUUUCGAACGAGUCGAUAAAAUACCUGUUCGCCUACUUCGACGACUUUACUUCCUGUCGGGUCGGAAUUCACUACAGCUCGCCGUUCUUUUGUUGGGUCGGAAGUACCGACGACGACGGGAGGGAGCUCACUCGUUGCGAAGGGAUUUCACGCGCUGAUCGAAGGAGGCAUAAUGGGAGUCUCCUUCAAGGUAUCUAAGAUCGGAAAGAGGUACGUGCCAAAACCGAUUGCCGAGCAGGUGGAGUGCUCUCCCAGUGAGAACCCUCAUGCCAUCAACGGACCUGCUUCAAAGAAAAAAGCAGAUAUUACAGAAGCUGCAAAUGACCUUGUUGGUUCUAAGGCAUCAGAAUUGUCAGAGCAUGACGUGUCUUUCACAUUGAACCUUUUACCAAAUGGAUACUUUGUCGGGAAGCCAUCAGAGGUGGGAAAUUUUCAGCCUUUGCUGCAAGAUGUGAAGUCUCUGCAUCCAUAUGACAGGGCUUCUAAACCCCUUUUUUCUGCAAUUGAGACAGGAUGGCUUCCAGGAGAUAUUCUUGAUGAUGUACCUUGCAAAUAUAUCAAUGGUUCUGUCAUCUGCGAGGUGCGCGAUUAUAGAAAGUGUACACUAGAACAAGGGACUAUUGCUCCUAUUGAUGCUGUUCCUGUUGUAAACAGAAUCCGUCUUCGGAUGUCUCUAGAAAAUGUUGUUAAGGAUAUUCCUUUAAUAGCGGAUGAUUCAUGGACUUACAGUGAUCUUAUGGAAGUUGAGUCCCGAAUAUUGAAAGCCUUGCAGCCAAAACUUGACUUAUCCCCUACUCCUAUGUUGGACAGGCUUUGUGCUGACCCUACAAUUAUUAAGCUUAAUGUUGAUGUGGGAAGGAAAAAAAGGUUGCGACCAGCUACCGAAGUCACGAUCACCUCCAAUAAUCAACCUCAUGGGAAAAAGAUUUGCAUUGAUGGAGCACCUGAAAUUGCUAACAGUGAAGGAGAUUCAGGAACUGUGUUAAGCAAUUUAGCUAUGCAACAAGCUCAUGAGAAUGCAACCACUCAGCCUGGGGUUAUUUCAUCUUCACGGUCAAACAAUCCUUUUCAUGAAGCCGCUAGGCCAACUUUAACUGUUCCAGGUCAUACAAAGUUUCAAUCUGCUGUCAACCAGGCUGGAGUGAUUCAGGAUCAUGGCUUAUCUCCUGCAAAUUAUGGGGUCAGUGCCAGCAUUUCGUUGCCUCAGAAUAUGGUUGGCUCGUACACAGAUACUGCUAAUGCUAAUUUUUCUCUGCCUGGACGAAGGGAGACUCAAAGUUCCCAGUCAACAUCAAUGCCAGGUUUAAAGAGACCAAGGCAGAAUGCUGCAGGUCUCGAUGGUAUUUCAACACAGCAGGUAGCUGCUCCGCUAGGUGGCUUUAGUGGGCAAGAUAUGCAGUGGAAGAACCAGACUGUGCAUCCACAGAUUGAUGCCAAGGGGUUUCAGUACUCCAAUGUUGGGGUCCCAAGGUUUUCUCAGAUGAAUCAAGAGGCAGUGACAUCUAUUUAUUUUAACCAGCAGGUGAUGAGAUAUGGGCCUAAGGAGGAGCAGAUUGACUCGGAUAAGUUGGAUAAGCAAGAUCUUGAGAGAUCGAAGGAUUCUCUACAGGCGAUGACCACUGACAAUUCAUUGGAUCAGCACCAAUUACGUGCACAGCAUCAAGCACAUCAGUCAUCUAUGAGGAGCCAUCUUCCACCUCUUACACAGUGGAAUAACCCACGGUUGCCAGUUGAGAAGGAUAUGAGAAAGGAAGAUGUGCUUCAAAAACGGAAGACAUUACCCAGUCCACGUGUUUCUUCUGGACCAUUGGUUCAAUCUCCUAUGUCAUCAAAAUCUGGAGAGAUAUCCAGUGGCUCGGUAGGUGGUCAAUACAGCGCAAUGGCUGCAACUUCUGCACAGACUUCACAGUUGGACAAAGUACCUACAAACUCAAAUAAUGCGGUUGGAGCCCCUUCUGUUGUUUCUAGUCCCAGUGAUUCAGUACACAGACAACCCCAAGUUUCUGCUCCUCUAAAACGGAAAGCAAAUUCUGUCCCCAAAACACAAGUCAUGAGUGGGGUUGGAUCUCCUGCAAGUGUGAGUAAUUUUAAUACUCCAUUGAAUGCUAGUAGCCCGUCAAUAGGAACAUCGUCUAUGGUUGAUCAAGUGCUAAUGGAAAGGUUUGCGAAGAUUGAAAUGGCAACCCAAAGAUACCAAAAAAAUGCCAGAAAAAACAAAGUUGAAAAUUAUCCCGCAAGGAAGCCUCGAGCAUAUUCAAAUCAGCAAGUGGAGGUUUCCCUGUCAAAUUCAUUGAACUCUGAGGAUUUCACAGAUCCAACAGAUACUCUUUCAAGGUCUAUUCGAGGUGGAAACAUUAAUACUUGCAAGACAAGACUAGUAACUUUCAUCCGAGCAGAGCGUCUUUAUCCAGUAGUUCCUGGGAGGACUACAAGCCGAUUGAUCAUGAGUGAGAAGCCCUUUGAUGGCACAGUGGCUAUGCAGUAUGGUGACUCAGAUGAUUCUGAUCUUCCUAGUCCUGUAGAUUGCUGGCAAACAUUGCCCACCACACACUUUGCUGAUCUUCUUGCGGCACAGUUUUGUGCAUUGAUGGACCGUGAUGGGCAUCAUAAAGCUGAUGAUCAAUUAUUUCAAGCUCGAACCUCUCCAGUUCGCAUGGGUGUCGCAUCUGGAGGUCAAUCUAUAGUUCCAGGAUUGUCAACUGAGAAUCUGCCAUCUGAGGGAAAACAUGCAGAUUCGGUUCCUGCUUCAUUGCCUGCUGCUGUAGCUCCUAAUAAUGGUGGGAUGGGCCCCAUGAACUCGCAUAAUCUUUCCAGCAAUGCUGGAAUGAUGGCUUCCGGAAGCGGUGCCCAAAGCUUACCCAUUUCACAGGGCUAUUUGUCGGGGACAGGAAUCCCUGCCAGAAACCAACAGCUUGAGCAGCAACAGCUUCAGCAGCAGCAUCUUCAGCAGCUGCAAAACCCACAAUCCCAGUUGCAGCAACAGCAGCAGCUUCCCCUCCCUCACAUCCAGAGAUCUUCUCAAGUUCUCUCAAACAAUCCUCUCUCCCAUUUAAUUGGGCAGAGCUCAAACAUUCAAAUGGGUUCUAAUUCUAUCGGGAACAAUAAGAGCGCUCACAUCCAGCUCCAAAUGCAACAACAACAACAUCAACAGCAGCAGCAGCAACAACAACAGCAUAAUCAGAUCCCGAGGAAAGUGAUGAUGGGACUUGGUGCUGCCAUGGGCAUGGGGAAUAUGGGAAAUAAUAUGGUGGGAAUUCCAGGUCUCGGUAAUGUCAUCGGUAUGGGGGGUGUGCGUGGUCUGUCCUCCCCAAUGGGCUCCUUGCCUGGCUUGGGCACUGUCAACCCCAACCAGAUGCUUCCAACUUCAGCUUCCAAUUUUGGUAAUGGCAUCCGCCCAGCUUCUAUGUCACCUGCCCAAGCCGCUGCAGCAAUUGCGACAAAGUUUAGAAUGGCAGCGCAGCAGAACAGGGGCAUGUAUGGUCCCCAACCUGGGAUUGCUAACUUGACAGGGUACAACAAUCAGAUGCUUCCCACCUCAGCUGGCUUGUCUAUGCUAAGUCAUGCGCUGAACCGAACUAACAUGAACACUUUGCAGCCCAAUGCCACGAUGGCAUCUAUGGGACCACCCAAGAUUUCAGGACCAAACUUCUAUCUGAACACGCAGCAAUUGCAGCUACAGCAACAGCGUUUUCAACAACAGCAGCAGCAGCAGCAGCAACAGCAGUUGCAACAACAGCAGAUGCAACAGCACUCGCCACAAAUGCAACAGCAGCAGAUAAGCUCUCCCCUUCAGCAAUCACAGGUUACUUCCCCAUCAGUGGCUGGUUCUCCUUCACCUUUGGUUAUGCAACAGCAACAGCAACAGCAACAGCAACAGCAACAGAUAAGUCCCCAACAGAUGGGUCAGCAGACUCCGAUGAGUCCACAGCAGUAUAACUCUGCUGCCCUGCAGAUUAAUAAUGCUAGUUUAGGGGCUGCACCACCUGCUAGCCCGCAAUUGAGCUCACAGACACACGGGUCCAUUGGUAGCAUCACUAGCUCUCCCAUGGAGCAGCUACAAGGUGCAAAUAAGGGAGGAAGCUCCAACAUUUGAGCCUGAAAUUUACAUCCAUUGUUAUGAAGGGUCCCAAGAAGCUGAGUGCUACUUGUUUGGUUGACAUCGGUAAACCAUUGUAGCAUUUAAAGUCUUAUAAACACAAAAAUAUCAAGACUAGGAAAAAGACGGGCUAUAUCUGAUGAGCUAAUCAUCUCCGUGCUUAGCACGUUUUAUAUUCCUGAAUGAUAGCAACAGUAGCAGAGGAAAAAGCCCCAUGAAGCCAAGAAACAAGCUUGGAGCCCUGGCUGCAUCUGCCGUGUAGAAAUAAUAGUAGGGGUAUGAGAGACCUCCUCGAUCCUGUCCUCCAGCUGGUGA